rnacentral:lncRNA from 1 species
CUUCCCCCAAAGUGUCUUGAUUUUAGAACAUGAAUUAGGCUGCCCCUCACAUCGGAUCAGGAUGCUACUGACACUCUUCUUAGAGUGUGUGUUUGGCUUUGUUUUUCCAGCAGUCAGGAUGGGUUUACACGGAACCAAACACACACAGUUUCUUGAUCUCCCCUGUAACCAAGGUUCUAAGACAACUGAUUGGAAUUAGAAUCAGAGUACUUUAUCAUGAGAAGAAACAGAAGCUGCCAUGCCCAGCAUUACACAGAACUGAGAUCAACACCACGGGACAUCGAGGUUUGCCCUGGAGAACCAGGACGACAAUUUCCUAGCUUAGUUGAAGAUGGCUUUGCAAUGAAUCUUUCCCUGGGAGACUUGGAGACUAUGAGCCCAAAUCCCACUGUUUACAGAGCAUGUUUUACUUGGUGUGGCUCGUACAGCAGGAGCGUGGAUCAGCGGAGAAGGACAGCACCAGAGGGAGAAUAAGCCUUUACAUUUGUGUUUACGGAGCUACACCGAGCCACGGGAAUCCCAGUUCCUGGGAUAUUCCCAGUUAUUCUGUACCCAGGCUCUUUCCAGCAGAAUGCACCAGGGGAAGCCAAAAAAGGAGCCUCUGGAAAUUCCAUGAGUUCUGUUUGCUGAAGGGCCCCGAGCGCUCAAUAAAGCUGAGUUUGCAGAAGCACCAAGGGAAUUCUGUGUCCCUGGCCACACACCCAGGAACAGGCACCACUGCCUCAUUUCUGGAGACAUGUAUGUAUAUAUUCUUUUUAAUGAGAAAUCUGUUGAGAUUUUCGAGAAAAUAAAAAGCUUAUUUCUGUUCAUUCUGGGCAAACGUCUACUAACCUGAUUUUUGCCAAAGACAACAAUGGAGACUUCAGUCUCUGUCACAAGACAGUCAUUGUCAAUUGGAGGACAAGGACAUGGUGAAAGAGGAGGGACAGGAUCCACAGGUGGGAAGAACCAGGCUCCUGUGAGGUAGCAGGAACUUUACAGAUUUUCUCCUCAAGGCAACCAGGGAGGCGGCGAAAAGCAUCCCCAUUUCACAAACGAGGAUAUAGAAACUCAGAUAAUUUGAAUAAUUUGCCCAAGAUCACAGAGGUGGGAGAUAGCAGAAGUGGGUUCUACAAGUCUGUACACAGGGCAGGCUCCUAAUUAACAUCUGCGGGUUCGAAAUUCCAUGUGCAGAAUUAGCAGGGAGAAGAGAAGCCCUUCCCUGAUUAAUUUGAGAGAGUGAUUAAUGAGGGAUGUAAAAAUUGAUAAAUAGAAUAUGCCAUCAGAUUUGGAAAGUGCUUUUCUACCUUACACAACCUUCUGCGGCUCUUGUCUCAUAAGAUAGAAGGAACAAAUGAAGUAUGGAUUUUUCAGGCAAGGAAGCUGCAGCUUGACAGGAUCAUUUAAUGAAUUAGCAACAGACUGGGGAGAAACCCCAGUUCCUGCAUCGAAGUCAGUGGCCCAGCGCUGUCUUUGUGCUUCUCAAGCGUUGACAUGUUUCAAAAUCAAUACAGAUUUCCAGAUACCACCCUAAAUCCACUGUAUCACCGUCUCUGGAAAUGGGCCACAGGAUCUGUAUUUUAAGCAAACCCCCCAGGUGACUUUUUCUGACACCAAAAUUUGUGAACCUAUGUCUUCUUUUCUUUCUUUUUUUUUUUUUUUUGGUUACUUACACUUUGUGAGUUGGAAGACCUGGUUUCUCCCUACCCUCUGGUCUAUGAGUGUCUUCUCAUCUAAAAAUCUGUUUUAGAAGGGAGACAAGAAAAUACCCCUCAUUCUCUCUCAUUUUUAAUAAGCCUCAUAGUUCUUGUGCGUCUAACUAUAGCUUUUCUUUAUUCAGUUUUUUUUUAUUAGGAAUAAAGCACAUAUG